UACAGAGGAGCCAAGCGUUGUCCGGAUUGACUGGGCGUAAAGCGCACGCAGGCGGUUGGGCGCGGGGGGGGGGAAAUCUGGCCGCUUAACGGCCAGGCGCCAUCCCAUACGGCGCGACUGGAGUGAUGCAGAGGUCGAUGGAAUUGCCGGUGUAGUGGUGAAAUGCGUAGAGAUCGGCAGGAACACCCAGGGGGAAACCAGUCGACUGGGCAUCUACUGACGCUGAGGUGCGAGAGCGUGGGGAGCGAACCGG
rnacentral:rRNA from 1 species